AUUCUUACAAUGGCGACCGUUGGAGGCAUGUGCGUGAGAACUGUCACAUCGAUUUCAAGAUGUUUGCGACAAAGUAUUCACCAAAGAGCAACAUGGAAUGGACUUCAGCAUAGACGGCUCUGUACAACAAAUUCUGACACAAAAUCAAACAAAGAGGGGACAGAAAAACCAGACGCAGAAAACAGUAAUGACGAUCCACAGAAAGUCAUAGAGAAUUUGAAGGCAGAUGGUGAAAAACUGAAAACAGAGGCAAAAGAUUUUAAGGUGAAAUAUUAAGCUAAUUUGUUUUGGUUCAAAAUUUACCUGGUUGUUAUUAUUAUAAUAAAUUUAGAUUUAUAUGAUGGGCCCCAAUUUAACCAAGAUUACGCUAUUUAAGUUGUGUACAAAAAAAAUCAAUGCUAGCUGGCAUAAUAAUUUGGAAAAAUACAGCACAUCAUGCUGUAUAUAUUGACUUGUUUAUUCUGUCAAUCUGACUAGUACCAGUAUAUUGCAGGUGAUUUAUUUUAUUAUUUUUUUUUUUUUUUUUCGUCUGAUGGAUCAAAGGGGAUUUUAAUUGACUCAACAGCUCUGUUAUUCUCAGGAAAUAGUGAAAGUCUGAAAGAGUUAUCUCUCUUUCAUUGUCAAAGAGUUUGUUACAUGUAAAAUAUUGUUAGAAAUGGCAACGGGUUGAGCCCCCUUCCAGUAAGCUGGAAAAGUUCUAAGUAGGUCAAAGGUUUAUGAUUAAGAAAGGCGUCAGCAUUUCAAGUGUACAUACUAUGAUAAAUGAAAUAUUUUUGUCUUUAGAAGUUGGUAUGGAUGUUCAGUUGUUCUGUAACAGUGAUUUGACAGCUUACUGGUAGAACCUCCUUGGAUGUUUUCAAGACUCCCCGAGAAGAGCAAAAGUUUCAUGGAUUAAUGUAUUAAAAUCCAAUUUCCAGUUAGAAUAAAAAUCCAAAUUUGAGAGAAAGCCAAAAUAUCACAUUGGAUUUAAAAUUAUAAUACUGUUUACAGGGUUAUUUUUGCCCCGUGUAAUUUUUGCCCUUCUUCACUUGCAAAUAGUUUUGCCCCGUCUUGAAUUCGCCCCUACACAGUUGUGUUUAAAGAGAGUUAAUAUUGGCAUUCGCCCGGUCUUAAAUUCGCCCACUGGCAACGAGGGCGAAGAGAGUGAAAAUAAAACAGGGACAAAUAUUUCCCUGUAUACAGUAUAUUGCACAAUGAAUUUAUUGCAUUAUUUUAACUUCAUUUAGAUUUGAACAUUGUAAGGAAGAUCCUUAAUAAAUUAUCAUAUAACUAAGAUAGUAACUAUUACAUGUGCCAUAGUGGGUUUUUUCUCUUCAAAUUAUUUGUCUUAUAGAAAAAAUCAAUUAGUCUUGAUUAUUUUACGAUUUAAAUAAUAUCACUUCUUUGGAUUAUAACUUUGAACUACAUGUACCUGAUAGGACCACCUACUGAUUAUACUGUUAGCUUUGACUAAGAACCAUUUUAACAAGAGCUUGUACUUUGGGUAGUUGUGUCAAACAGCAAUGUGAUGUAGGCUUGUCUAUUUCAUAGUAUGCCACUUAGCCACGGCUCUUUGAAAUCAACAAGAUUAGUCUGGCUUUUGAGCUAAGACUACGCAAUCGGUGCAUAUUUCGCUUGAAACUUGUUUUGAUGCAAGAAAUAGAUAGCUAUGUCCAACCGAAAGUCCAAGGUCUUGUUAAAAUGGUUCUUGUUUGGUCUGCUGUUUCACCAUUAGGAAGCCAGUAUUCUCAAACUCGUUUCUCUGGCUUUGCAGGAUGUCAGCUGGUGGUCCAAGUUAUCUCUGUCAGGGAAAACGCUGUUUCAGCGCGGUAGCAACGAUGACAAUAAUUGGAAGGACAAGUACAUGCGAGCGUUGGCAGAGACGGAAAAUGUCCGACAACGGAUGACGAAGCAGGUCAGUGACGUACGACUUUUCGGGAUCCAAGGUUUCUGUAAGGACCUGCUGGAAGUGGCGGAUAUCCUCCAACAGGCCACACAGAGCGUGCCCGAGAAAGAACUACAGGAAAACAAACACUUGCGGGACCUAUACGAUGGGCUUGUGAUGACCGAGGCGCAGUUACAGAAGGUCUUCUUGAAACAUGGACUUGAACAAAUUAUUCCCCAAAAAGGAGACAAGUUCGAUCCUCAUUUCCACGAGGCUUUAUUUCAAGUUCCAGCCGAAGAUCCAAGCAUGGCCUCCAAUGUUGCCACUGUCGAAAAAUUGGGAUAUAAACUCCACGAAAGAACCUUGCGGCCAGCACUAGUGGGUGUGUUCAAGUCAUGAUGAGCCAUUGGACAAGAUUCAUUGUGACGUCAUCUUCAGACUUGUGUAUUCAUACAUGAACAUCCAGACCAUGUUGCCAAUUCUCAAUGUCCAAGUUGAAAAAUGAAAGAGAAUUCAAAAAAUUUCUCUUACACUACUGGAAUAUAUUAUGAAUGUGUCCAUUGAACUAGUUUCAAGACUUCUAAGCUUUGAAUAGAUAAUUGAUUUGAGAAUUGAUUCUACAGAUGUAUGAAUUAAUUACAAAAUUGAUAAAAAUGGUCUAUUACGGUAUAUUAGUGUUUUGAAGGACAGAUUUGAUUUCCUCAUGCUUUGAAUAGUAUUGUACAUGUAAUUGGGUGUAACAGCAUGAAAAUAAAUUCUUUUCAUUGAUAAAC
rnacentral:misc_RNA from 1 species